rnacentral:rRNA from 1 species
GAGUUUGAUCAUGGCUCAGAUUGAACGCUGGCGGCAUGCCUUACACAUGCAAGUCGAACGGCAGCAUGAUCUAGCUUGCUAGAUUGAUGGCGAGUGGCGAACGGGUGAGUAAUACAUCGGAACGUGCCCUGUAGUGGGGGAUAACUAGUCGAAAGAUUAGCUAAUACCGCAUACGACCUGAGGGUGAAAGUGGGGGACCGCAAGGCCUCAUGCUAUAGGAGCGGCCGAUGUCUGAUUAGCUAGUUGGUGGGGUAAAGGCCCACCAAGGCGACGAUCAGUAGCUGGUCUGAGAGGACGAUCAGCCACACUGGGACUGAGACACGGCCCAGACUCCUGCGGGAGGCAGCAGUGGGGAAUUUUGGACAAUGGGCGAAAGCCUGAUCCAGCAAUGCCGCGUGUGUGAAGAAGGCCU